AGAACUCAUGCCCCAAGACCCUUAAUAUGUAGAGCCCUUUCUCUACUCUCUUACAUGCACAAAAGAGAAAAAUAAAAUCCUUUUUAUUGGUAUGUAAGGAGGUGGGGUGAAGAGUCCAACAAUGUUUGGACUCUUCCAUACAUUGUUGCCUCUCUUCAUAAUUCCACACCCCAAAAAUUAUGUAAUGCCCCUUUUCUUUAUUUUACAUCAUAAAAUCAGAUCCUUAUCUAAUUUUCCACAUUAAGAACUUCCUCAAAAUGUCACACAAAAUCAAGAGGAUAAAGAAAGUGGGUGGCAAGAUCUAAGAGAAAAUGUCAAACAUUAUCCAUAUGGUAUCCAAUUUCAAAUCAAAUUUGAAUAUACCAAAAAAUUAGAUUAUGAUCCAUUUUUGGAUGUGAGAU
rnacentral:lncRNA from 1 species